AUUGAACGCUGGCGGCAGGCUUAACACAUGCAAGUCGAACGAGUGGCGGACGGGUGAGUAAUGCUUGGGAAUCUAGCUUAUGGAGGGGGAUAACUACGGGAAACUGUAGCUAAUACCGCGUACUAUCGGAUGAGCCCAAGUGGGAUUAGGUAGUUGGGGAGGUAAAGGCUCACCAAGCCGACGAUCUCUAGUUGGUCUGAGAGGAUGACCAGCCACACUGGGAAUGAGACACGGCCCAGACUCCUACGGGAGGCAGCAGUGGGGAAUAGUGCUCAAUGGGGUCAACCGGACGCAGCAAGGCCGCGUGAAUGAAGAAGGCCUUCGGGUUGUAAAGUUCUUUCGGUAGCGAGGCGUUAACUACAGAAGAAGCACCGGCUAACUCCGUGCCAGCAGCCGCGGUAAUUC
rnacentral:rRNA from 1 species